rnacentral:rRNA from 1 species
AUGAACGCUGGCGGCGUGCCUAAUCCAUGCAAGUCGAGCGAACGGACGAGAAGCUUGCUUCUCUGAUGUUAGCGGCGGACGGGUGAGUAACACGUGGAUAACCUACCUAUAAGACUGGGAUAACUUCGGGAAACCGGAGCUAAUACCGGAUAAUAUUUUGAACCGCAUGGUUCAAAAGUGAAAGACGGUCUUGCUGUCACUUAUAGAUGGAUCCGCGCUGCAUUAGCUAGUUGGUAAGGUAACGGCUUACCAAGGCAACGAUGCAUAGCCGACCUGAGAGGGUGAUCGGCCACACUGGAACUGAGACACGGUCCAGACUCCUACGGGAGGCAGCAGUAGGGAAUCUUCCGCAAUGGGCGAAAGCCUGACGGAGCAACGCCGCGUGAGUGAUGAAGGUCUUCGGAUCGUAAAACUCUGUUAUUAGGGAAGAACAUAUGUGUAAGUAACUGUGCACAUCUUGACGGUACCUAAUCAGAAAGCCACGGCUAACUACGU